rnacentral:rRNA from 1 species
CCUACGGGGGGCAGCAGUGGGGAAUAUUGGACAAUGGGGGGAACCCUGAUCCAGCCAUGCCGCGUGUGUGAAGAAGGCCCUCGGGUUGUAAAGCACUUUCAGUGAGGAAGAACGCCUGGUGGUUAAUACCCAUCAGGAAUGACAUCACUCACAGAAGAAGCACCGGCUAACUCCGUGCCAGCAGCCGCGGUAAUACGGAGGGUGCGAGCGUUAAUCGGAAUUACUGGGCGUAAAGCGCGCGUAGGUGGCUUGAUAAGCCGGUUGUGAAAGCCCCGGGCUCAACCUGGGAACGGCAUCCGGAACUGUCAAGCUAGAGUGCAGGAGAGGAAGGUAGAAUUCCCGGUGUAGCGGUGAAAUGCGUAGAGAUCGGGAGGAAUACCAGUGGCGAAGGCGGCCUUCUGGACUGACACUGACACUGAGGUGCGAAAGCGUGGGUAGCAAACAGGAUUAGAUACCCGAGUAGUC